rnacentral:lncRNA from 1 species
GGGGGGGGCUGUGGGGCGGCAGGGGUGGGCUCCAGCAUCACCAGGGUGCGGUGGGGGGGGGGCUCCCCCGUCGUCUCUGCCUGGGGGGCGUCAGUGCUGCCAUUGGGGGCUUUGGGCGCUGCUGCGGUGCCCUGCACCCCCGGCUCUGCCCCCUCUUUGUCCUCCUGUGCCCUCUCGGAGCCCUUGGCCUCCUCCUCGGCCGCCUGGCGCCGCCGCUUCUCGCGCCUCUCGUCCAACUCCUCAUCCCGCAGAGCCUCCAGGCGGGCCAGG